rnacentral:rRNA from 1 species
UACGUAGGUGGCAAGCGUUGUCCGGAAUUAUUGGGCGUAAAGAGCGUGUAGGCGGCCAGAUAGGUCCGUUGUGAAAACUGGAGGCUUAACCUCCAGCGGUCGAUGGAAACCAUUUGGCUAGAGUCCGGAAGAGGAGAGUGGAAUUCCUGGUGUAGCGGUGAAAUGCGCAGAUAUCAGGAAGAACACCCGUGGCGAAGGCGGCUCUCUGGGACGGUACUGACGCUGAGACGCGAAAGCGUGGGGAGCGAACAGG